rnacentral:rRNA from 1 species
CAAAGGUUCCCUCAGCCUGGUUGGUAAUCAGGUGUUGAGUGUAAGUGCACAAGGGAGCUUGACUGUGAGACCGACGGGUCGAGCAGGGACGAAAGUCGGGACUAGUGAUCCGGCGGUGGCUUGUGGAAGCGCCGUCGCUCAACGGAUAAAAGGUACCCCGGGGAUAACAGGCUGAUCUUCCCCAAGAGUCCAUAUCGACGGGAUGGUUUGGCACCUCGAUGUCGGCUCGUCGCAUCCUGGGGCUGGAGUCGGUCCCAAGGGUUGGGCUGUUCGCCCAUUAAAGCGGUACGCGAGCUGGGUUUAGAACGUCGUGAGACAGUUCGGUCCCUAUCCGCUGUGCGCGUAGGAGUCUUGAGAAGGGCUGUCCCUAGUACGAGAGGACCGGGACGGACGAACCUCUGGUGUGCCAGUUGUUCUGCCAAGGGCAUGGCUGGUUGGCUACGUUCGGGAGGGAUAACCGCUGAAAGCAUCUAAGCGGGAAGCCUGCUUCGAGAUGAGGGCUCCCACCCACUUGAUGGGGUAAGGCUCCCAGUAGACGACUGGGUUGAUAGGCCGGAUAUGGAAGCACGGUAACGUGUGGAGUUGACCGGUACUAAUAGGCCGAGGGCUUGUCCUCAGUUG